rnacentral:rRNA from 1 species
GUAGGGAAUAUUGGGCAAUGGAGGCAACUCUGACCCAGCCAUGCCGCGUGCAGGAAGACGGUCCUCUGGAUUGUAAACUGCUUUUGAAUGGGAAGAAACGUAGCUUUGCGAAGCUAUUUGACGGUACUAUUAGAAUAAGCACCGGCUAACUCCGUGCCAGCAGCCGCGGUAAUACGGAGGGUGCAAGCGUUAUCCGGAUUUAUUGGGUUUAAAGGGUGCGUAGGCGGCUUUAUAAGUCUGGGGUUAAAGGCGGCAGCUUAACUGUACGCAUGCCCUGGAUACUGUGAAGCUUGAGUGACUUGGAGGUAGCUAGAAUUCCCUGUGUAGCGGUGAAAUGCAUAGAUACGGGGAGGAAUACCGAUUGCGAAGGCAUGUUACUACGAGUAAACUGACGCUGAUGCACGAAAGCGUGGGGAUCAAACAGGAUUAGAAACCCUGGUAGUCC